UGGGGAAUAUUGCACAAUGGGGGAAACCCUGAUGCAGCGACGCCGCGUGGAGGAAGAAGGUCUUCGGAUUGUAAACUCCUGUUGUUGAGGAAGAUAAUGACGGUACUCAACAAGGAAGUGACGGCUAACUACGUGCCAGCAGCCGCGGUAAAACGUAGGUCACAAGCGUUGUCCGGAAUUACUGGGUGUAAAGGGAGCGCAGGCGGGAGAACAAGUUGGAAGUGAAAUCCAUGGGCUCAACCCAUGAACUGCUUUCAAAACUGUUUUUCUUGAGUAGUGCAGAGGUAGGCGGAAUUCCCGGUGUAGCGGUGGAAUGCGUAGAUAUCGGGAGGAACACCAGUGGCGAAGGCGGCCUACUGGGCACCAACUGACGCUGAGGCUCGAAAGUGUGGGUAGCAAACAGGAUUAGAUACCCUGGUAGUCCACACCGUAAACGAUGAUUACUAGGUGUUGGAGGAUUGACCCCUUCAGUGCCGCAGUUAACACAAUAAGUAAUCCACCUGGGGAGUACGACCGCAAGGUUGAAACUCAAAGGAAUUGACGGGGGCCCGCACAAGCAGUGGAGUAUGUGGUUUAAUUCGACGCAACGCGAAGAACCUUACCAAGUCUUGACAUCCCUUGACGAACAUAGAAAUAUGUUUUCUCUUCGGAGCAAGGAGACAGGUGGUGCAUGGUUGUCGUCAGCUCGUGUCGUGAGAUGUUGGGUUAAGUCCCGCAACGAGCGCAACCCUUAUGGUCAGUUACUACGCAAGAGGACUCUGGCCAGACUGCCGUUGACAAAACGGAGGAAGGUGGGGAUGACGUCAAAUCAUCAUGCCCUUUAUGACUUGGGCUACACACGUACUACAAUGGCGUUAAACAAAGAGAAGCAAGACCGCGAGGUGGAGCAAAACUCAGAAACAACGUCCCAGUUCGGACUGCAGGCUGCAACUCGCCUGCACGAAGUCGGAAUUGCUAGUAAUCGUGGAUCAGCAUGCCACGGUGAAUACGUUCCC
rnacentral:rRNA from 1 species